GGUUGUCGUUAGUUGCAUGCAAACGUGUACGCCGCUUAGCACGAACGAAGGAGAAUUGCAUUGUGAAACCCGGCACGGAGCGAGUGCAGAUUUGCACUGCAAAACUCAAAAAACUCAAGAAAACAAAAUAAAAACCACAAAAAAAAGUAUAAGAAAUAUAACAAAGUGCAUUUUUUGUAAAUAAAAUUUUAAAAACAUUUCGUUGGCCGAGUAAAUUUGAAAAUUUUUGUGUGUAUUAUAAUUUAUCUUAAAAAAUUGCAUUUAACCGCCACCAGACGCGUUCUUGGCGACGACAGCCGUGUGUGUGAAUGCAAUGCAACCAACGCUGCCGCAGUCCGCUCGCUGCCGCUGAACAAUGCGGAGUAUAGAAUAGCAAAAGUGCAGCAGAAAAAAGUGCAUUCAAAAUGCAAUUCGCAAAAAGUGAGUGCAACUCACAAACACAAAGAAACAAAGCGUAUGUGUGCGUGUGUAUGGACGCGCUCUUGCAGUUUUUAUAAAAAUUCAUUCAGCGUCGCAUCAGCGCAUACACACACAGCCACACACACACACAAGCAGCAUGGACUGCAGCGCGACUCAAGUGUGCUCGCCACAAAGUGAAGCAUCUUGCAGCGGCUGGCUAUUUGAAGAGCUGUUUGACAUUUUUCGUGAAAAAAUGUGAAUCUUCAGGAAUUUUAAUGCAUGAAACACUUGACAUUUGUAUACAAAUUUAUGUGAGAACAUCAAAAGAUGCAGUUUGUGCAGUUAGUGCGUCGCCUGUGUGGGCCGUCACCGCAGAAUUCAGUUGCCUUAAUUCAGCAAAAGCGCCACGUACUCGUGAACAUAUCCUAGUUGCGUUAAUCUGAUGAACCACACACCCACACACACAUACACGCAAUAACAUAGAAAUAACUUUUGCUUAUUGGAGGUGUGUUGAGCCGACGUGUCGGGGCCAUUUGAAGGUCGAUUCUGGUGGAAACAUUGUGAAAUUAUAUUAAAGUGAUCUUAAAAGCAUUUUAAUAGUAGUGACAAAAACUAAUUCAUUUCCGCGUAUACACUGAUGUGAAAUGAAAAAACAAAUAUUUUUAUAGGGAAAUGGCGACCAACAUUAAGUAACUGUGAAACUUUCUUUACGGUAUCCUUGCAACACAUCGCUUGAGUUUUUGCAUUUUUGAAUUGCUUUCAACAGCUUUGAUUUUGAUAUGGUAUUUCCAUCUAAGCUCUGCAUCCAAAGUCGUGCCUAUAUACUUGGCACUAUUGACAUAUGGCACUAUCGCUGAAAGAAUAACUUAUAAGCAGGUUC